UAAUCAUGCAAACCAAGAGUCUUUACAUCAACAGGAGUAUUAAACACCCAACCAUGCCUAUGUUUCAUCAAUUUCUCAAGCAAAGCAUUACAAUUCUUGAAAACCUUGGAACCCGUCCCAAACCCAAAUCCCAAUUCCCCUCCCCCUUGCUUCUUUCCAUUCAAUUUCGACUUCUUGUUACUCUCUGCUGGUGGAAACUUGUCUUUUGCUAGCAAAAACUCUGAAUUCCUAUAAAACUGAUUUGCCUUUGGUGUCCUUUUCUCUUUCUCCACGGUCUGUCUCACCAGGACCCUGGCUAUUCUCCAACACUGAUAUGCUAAGCUGAUUCAAAGGCCUAGACUGCCUAGGAGUAGGAGUAAGAAUAGGAGUAGUAAUCUCACGAGGAGCACCCACUGAGCCCACCUCCGAAU
rnacentral:misc_RNA from 1 species